rnacentral:sRNA from 1 species
UUGCUAUCUGCGAUAUGGAAGAUUCGAACCUGCCGCAGGUUCGGGUCGAACGCAGUGAGACAACGGAGCCGUUUACGGCGACGGCCCGAAGGGCGAGCGAAGCGAGUCAUCCUGCACGACCCAC